UACGGGGGAUGCAAGUGUUAUCCGGAUUUAUUGGGUUUAAAGGGUGCGUAGGCGGCGUCUUAAGUCAGCGGUGAAAUUUCGGAGCUCAACUUCGAACGUGCCGUUGAUACUGGGAUGCUAGAAUGCGGAUGCCGUGGGAGGAAUGUGUGGUGUAGCGGUGAAAUGCAUAGAUAUCACAUAGAACACCGAUUGCGAAGGCAUCUCACGAAUCCGCAAUUGACGCUGAGGCACGAAAGCGUGGGGAUCAAACAGG
rnacentral:misc_RNA from 1 species